rnacentral:rRNA from 1 species
UACGUAGGGUGCAAGCGUUGUCCGGAAUUAUUGGGCGUAAAGAGCUCGUAGGCGGUCUGUUGCGUCGGCUGUGAAAACCCGGGGCUCAACUCCGGGCCUGCAGCCGAUACGGGCAGACUAGAGUUCGGCAGGGGAGACUGGAAUUCCUGGUGUAGCGGUGAAAUGCGCAGAUAUCAGGAGGAACACCGGUGGCGAAGGCGGGUCUCUGGGCAACAACUGACGCUGAGGAGCGAAAGCGUGGGGAGCAAACAGG